rfam:Capsicum annuum cultivar Zunla-1 chromosome 9, whole genome shotgun sequence
UAAUGAUGGUGAGGCAAAUUUUUGAACAUACCCUUAAAUCUCUCCUAAGCUUGGUAGAGAUUCUCUCCUUUUUUCUGUUUGAAACUUAAGAUCUCACUCCUCAAGCG